GAUCCUGGCUCAGGAUGAACGCUAGCGGCAGGCUUAACACAUGCAAGUCGAGGGGCAGCAUAAUGGUAGCAAUACUAUUGAUGGCGACCGGCGGACGGGUGCGUAACGCGUAUGCAACCUACCCUUUACAGGGGGGAUAACACUGAGAAAUCGGUACUAAUACCCCAUAAUAUUCUGGGAGGCAUCUUUCGGGGUUGAAAGCUUUAGGUGGUAAAGGAUGGGGCAUGCGUUGUAUUAGCUAGUUGGUAAGGUACGG
rnacentral:rRNA from 1 species